rnacentral:rRNA from 1 species
GACGAACGCUGGCGGCGUGCCUAAUACAUGCAAGUUGAGCGCUGAAGGUUGGUACUUGUUUCGCUGGGAUGAGCAGCGGACGGGUGAGUAACGCGUGGGGAAUCUGCCUUUGAGAGGGGGAUAACUUCUGGAAACGAAAGCUAAUACCGGAUAAUAAUUUUAAACACAAGGUUUAAGAUUGAAAGAUGCAAUUGCAUCACUCAAUGAAGAUAUCGCGUUGUAUUUGGUAGUUGGUGAAGGAAAGGCUCUCCAAAGCGAUGAUACAUAGCCGACCUGGGAGGGUGAUCGGCCAAAUUGGGACCUAGAAACGGCCCAAACUCCUACGGGAGGCAGCAGUAGGUAAUCUUCCGCAAUGGACGAAAGUCUGACCGAGCAACGCCGCGGGAGUGGAGAAGGUUUUCGGAUCGGAAAACUCUGUUGAUAGAGAAGAACGUUAUUGAGAAUGAAAAGCUCAUCAAGUGACGGUAACUACCCAGAAAGCGACGGCUAACUACGUG